rnacentral:lncRNA from 1 species
GAAAACAUUGAAAAGUGAAGAAAGAAAUGUCUGGGAGUAACAACAUGCUGAUGUUCCCAUGUUAAGGAAUCAAGAACUUUCUGACUGUCAUAGCAAAAAUGGUGGGUGCUGCACUCUGCAGAGAUCUGGGCACUGUGGGGGCAAGUUUGAAACAGAGCAGCAGUGGUCUUGAUGUUUAUUCUCAGAAGAUGCCUCCAGCUUUCCUUUGCAAAAGGUGUGCAGUGGUCUCAAGAGAUGCAGAAUGCCCCUUUGUAGGUUUAAGCCUGUAGUUAAUUAAACUGGAAUCCUUCCUGUCUGGGCUGACUAUUUAAGAGAACUUUAAAUUACUGAGAAUUGAUCUGAAAGAAAAUAGACAAUACAGUUCAUAUCAUUAGGUUUAUCUGUGCCAAGCUUGCAUGAGCGUGCCCUUAGUGUGUCCUCUAGCUCUACUUCUGCUCUCCUUGUUGUCCAGUUACAACUACCAGUGAUUCUAAUAGCCUUUACAUCACUUUUUCCUUCAGAGCAUGUUUUGUUGUAACUGCAUUCACUUCCCCUGCUCCCUCUUCUGUUUUGAGGUCAGUCAUCUGUACCAGACAGAACAUAGUAUCUGCCACAUGCAACUAAGGACUGGUGAUUUUAGGGAAUGUGGUUUUAAUUAGCUCUCCUCCUCUCCUCUGGUUGCUGAAUGGAGCUGGCCUCAGGUGGAAUUUUUUAAUGGUGCUACUGCUGUCUCUGUUACACAAGCUGGAGCUCUGUUUUGUGGAGUAAAUUGAGACAAAAAUGAAACUUCCUUUAGUAGACUUAACAGAGCUGGUCAAAGCAUUUCAAAUUUGUGUGAACAGUCAUUUUUCACAUGUUGGUAGCAAUAUAUACAGCAAGUCAGGAAAAUAUUGCCCUUGCAGCUUGUCUGAUUUCACUACUUUUUUUUUUAUUAUUUACCAAGUUAUUUACUGAUGCUAUUUGCAUAUGGCUAUGCAGUGGUGGCACCUAAGUUGCCUUUUUUUUUUUUUUUUACCUGUGUAGGAGCUGAUUUCCUGAGAAAUAUGGAGAACCCCAAGCUUUUCCUUCUUCCUUUUUCUCAGUGGUAUCAGUUCUCUUGUUUAGCUGACUAAGUGACAGUUUGAUACUUUGUCACAAGAUAUUCCUUUUUAUCUUUUACGUUCUGUUUGGCUGCUGUUGUUGUUUUGCAGAGCUAGUUUCUGGCAAGGUGAUCAAGCUAUUGGACUCAUGGUGGAGUUAGGCAGAGGCCAGGCAUGAGUUAAAGGAAGCAGGGAGAGCAUUACAUGCGGCAGGCAGGGGAAGAUGGUAGUGUGGGACUGACUGCUUUGGCAUGGUCAACUGUUUAGCCUGGCUCACUGAAGUGCGCUUGAAGUUUGUGAAGGGGUAAGCUUUUUCCCUCCUGUUUAGGUGAAUUAUCCUUACCUUGGAAGUAAAGUGAAGAGCAUGACUGAAAACAGUACUGGGCCAAGAGGCAGCAGUAACUGAAACAUCUAACCACUGAUUUUCUUUCUUGGGCUCUGGAUGCCCUUGGAAGGUACUGGCGUGGGAUAGAGCAACUCUCUGUGACUUCAUGGACAUUUUUCAGAGUAAAAUACAUUGAUGGUAGUUGUUUGUGGUUUUUUUUUUAACCUAAGGCCUUGCUUUAAGCUAUUUAAAUACACUCUGUAAAAAAGCUAUCUCUAGUUUGAAUAUACCCACCUCUUAUCUAUACAACCCCCAGAAUCUGCUAUCUCCAAGGUAGUGGUUUCCAAGAUUUGAGUGGCUUCCUGUAAAGAUAAAUUGCAUCAGAGGCAUGACCUUUAUCCUUUGAGCUAUUUAAAUAGCUCAAAUAUCUAUUGACUUUAUGCCUUGUGAUUUCAGUUGCUGAAAAGUGACCACCAAAGAAAAGAAGAGUUGACCUAGAGUGUAUCGGAUUGGUGAUAUCUUCAUUUAUAGAGCACUGCAAAUACAGAUGACAUUUUUUCUGACAAAUUCUUCCCCCAAAACUACUGUAUUGUGACUGGAUGCAUUUUAAGGAUUCAGUGCAUCCAUAUAGAAUCAAGUAAAAGAAAGGAGUAGUGUCUAUUAUGCAUGCUGAAGAUAACUAGGGAAAGAUGACUGUGCAAGGAAAACAACUGGGAGCCAUCUUUGCCUGGAAAUAAACCUAAUGGUUCUUAAGACUUCUCUUUAAAUUAUGUAUCUGAGUAUUUCUGCAUCUUUAUGGAAAUUUUCAGUUGGAAGAGAGAAAUGGAGCUAUAACUGAUCAAGUUAGGAAGGCGUAAUCCAUAGUUACUACAUUUAGUAAAGAAAGAUGUUUGUGUUUGUCCCUUAACAGAUCAGCAGGAUCAGCAUUUACAGAAAAAUACAACAAAGCAGAUGGGACUCCAUGUCAUCUUUAGUUAAAAUAUGCAUCCAUUCAUAUGGAACUGUGCUCUGGAAGAAUCUAAUCAAAGCAAAACCCUGCUUUUAUACUGUAAAGAGCUGUGGGAAAAAUACCAAACAUCAGACGGGUUUGAGUCCUGAAGGAGCUGAGUGACCUCUUCCUACAGAGAAAGUAUGGGCGGGCCCCCUCUGAAGUCUCACCUUCUGUGCAGUACUGGACAUCUGGCCGUGGGCUGAUGUGACUGAGAUCUGCAGGCAAGCCUACAGAAAGGAGGUCACCUUACACAAUCCCUACAAGGAGAGCCUUGGAAAUGCUGUCUGGGAGGACAUCAUGGCUGAUAGGAGCUUUAGCACCAGCUCUGCUUUCC